GGCGCUGUGGCUUAGUUGUUUAAAGCGCCUGUCUAGCUAGCAGGAGACUCUAAGCAGUGCCU
rfam:Xenopus tropicalis strain Nigerian Chr03_contig_3578, whole genome shotgun sequence.